GCGUAGCACAUAACACUAACACUAAAAUUGGAAUGAUACAGAGAUUAGAAUGGCUCUUCUGCAAGGAUGACACACAAAUUUGUUCUGAAGAGGGUAGGAGAGACAGUCUU
rnacentral:snRNA from 10 species